rnacentral:rRNA from 1 species
UUUCCGUAGCAAUACGGGGAUGGGCGCACGGCGCACGGGUGCGUAACACGUGGGCAAUCUGCCCUCCGAUGGGGAAUACCCCCGCGAAAGCGGGACUAAUUCCGCAUAACAUUCCUUGGAUUAACUUUCGAGGAUUCAAAGCAGCAAUGCGUCGGAGGAGGAGCCCGCGCCCGAUUAGCUAGUUGGUGAGGUAACGGCUCACCAAGGCAAUGAUCGGUAGCUGGUCUGAGAGGAUGGCCAGCCACACUGGAACUGAGACACGGUCCAGACUCCUACGGGAGGCAGCAGUGGGGAAUCUUGCACAAUGGGCGAAAGCCUGAUGCAGCGACGCCGCGUGGGGGAUGAAGCUUUUCGGAGUGUAAACCCCUUUCGACUGGGACGAAUGCCUCGCAAGAGGAGUGACGGUACCAGUAUAAGAAGCCCCGGCUAACUACGUGCCAGCAGCCGCGGUAAAACGUAGGGGGCCAGCGUUGUUCGGAAUUACUGGGUGUAAAGGGUUCGUAGGCGGUGUGGCAAGUCGGGAGUGAAAUCUCUGGGCUCAACCCAGAGACUGCUUCCGAAACUGCUGUGCUUGAGUGUGAGAGAGGCUCGUGGAAUUGCAGGUGUAGCGGUGAAAUGCGUAGAUAUCUGCAGGAACACCCGUGGCGAAAGCGGCGAGCUGGAUCACUACUGACGCUGAGGAACGAAAGCUAGGGGAGCAAACAGGAUUAGAUACCCUGGUAGUCCUAGCCCUAAACGAUCAGGACUUGGGGUGCCGCCCGUUCGGGCGUCGUCCCGGAGCUAACGCGUUAAGUCCUGCACCUGGGGAGUACGGUCGCAAGACUGAAACUC